GUGAAUUUCCUGCUGUAUUUAGCCUGCCAGAUGAAAGGUGAUGGAGUCAGGGGGUUGGGUAUCAGCAUUACAAGACAUGUGUAUGCAAGUAGUGGUUCAGAGCUACUUCGUCCAAUUGCAGUUUUACUCCUCACAAGAAAAAAAAAACCAGAGGACUUAGUGAAGUAUGGCAGACAGAUAGGCCUAAACAUCAAGAUAGGAAAAACAAAACUGAUGAAGAUCAACACAAAGAUACAGCGAGACCUUAUCAUAAAUAACACCAAAAUAGAAGAAGUAGAGGAAUUUGUCUAUCACAGCAGCAAGAUCACAGCCGAUGGAGAUGCUGCUGCUGAGGUGGAGAGCAGAAUUGCAAAAGCCUGAGCAGCCUCCGCAGAAUUAAAAAACGUCUGGAGAUCAACCAAAAUCAGCACAAAAAACAAAAUCAGGAUCUUCAAGAGCAACAUUAUUGGAGUCCUCCUAUAUGGUUCUGAGUCCUGGAAGGUGACCAAGAACAUCACACAGAAACUGGAUGUUUUCCAGUCAAGAUGCUUAUGGAGAACCCUCAAGAUAUUUUUGGCCCAACACUAUCAACAACAAGGAUCUAUACCAAAGAACAGCAACAUUACCAAUCUCCAAAAUGAUUAAAGAAAGAAUAUGGAUCUGGGUUGGCCAUGUCAACAGAAUGGAAACAUCAGCCAUGCGAUGGACACCAGAAGGCAAGAGAAAUAGAGGGCGACCAAAGGAGACCUGGAGACGAUCAGUCGAAAAGGAGAUGAAAGACCUUAGAUGGACUUGGGGCCAAAUAAAACAAAUGUCACAUGACAGACAGAGAUGGCGUCUCUGGGUGAGGGCCUUAUGUGCUUCUCAGCAUGAAGAGAACUAAGUAAAGUUAAACAUUUCCUGUAGCAGCUUAGGACAGUACAGUUUGUGAGUUAACAGAUCAGGGUGAGCCUCAGUGUUUCCUGGUGUACUGUACUCAUCCGCCAACUUAGGACAGCUGUUUAGUGAUCGCAGAGGUGCAACACCCGUUUCAGAGCCAUUUACAUCAUUUAGUGAGGAUUCCUGUGUCUGAUAGUACUGAACCUGAGGAAUUUCACACAUUUUUGAGCAGAGACCAGGUGUGCAGUAUCAACACCUUUUUAGUUACAUUUUGACAUGAAUUGUUGGAGAGAACUUGAAUACCAUGGCCAUGAGAUAUGACUUUAGCUAUAGAAUGCAAAAAUAUGCAGUAUUGUUGCAUUUGUGAUGAAAAUAAAGACAAUUUUCCCAUUUUUUACUGAAAAAUAAGCUUUUUUUAAACCAAAAAAAAUUCACUAAACACUAAUUUUGUUCUAUAUUUUAUCACAGUUGCAUAAUUGUAAGUUUUUUUCAGUGUAGUUGUCUAUUCCGCACUUGCUGGUGGUAUAUUUGAUGUAAUAUCUUACGGGUUUUUUGAAAAAACAGCGUUUAAUGACUAUGUGAUUCAGCCAAAUUUAACGGCUUAAACCGCAGUCUUUGGACAAAAUGAUGGCUGUACAAAAAUAGUGAUUUUGAGAAAACUACUGGUUUGUUUGGGCUGAAACUUGUUUUAUAAGCUGAAUAUAGAUGAAACUUCACAUAGAGAGCAAAAAAGCUGAAAAAAAAUAUUCAUAUUUCCUUAUAGGCAUACAGACACUAAAUAGCCUGAGCACCUUUGAAAAAAUGGUAGUCGCAUAAUGACGGAUUCAAAUAGUUCUCAGUUUUUUUUGCUGUAAGAAGGAUUUUUCCUUGAAAUCAUUGCUAUAUAUUGGUUGAAAUCAUAUUGCAUGCCUAUACUUGAUAUACUGGUAGCAUUUGCAUGUUGAAAAAAGACUCCAAACUGAUUUAACAUGUGAAAUUUAUUCAUACACUCCUACCCUAAAUUGUGAUUGUCAUUUCAGUGUAAAAAUUACGGUGUGUCCGUUUGACCAGAAAUAUUUUUCUUGCAUCAAACAUGACCCCUACUUUUCUUUGGAUAUUUUUACAGUAUAAAUGUUAUUCUACAAGAAAAUGUAAGUUAAAGAAAUUUAAAAUGGGUCUAGGUGUGUAUUGCAGCAUUGUGAAAACUUGUCAUUUUAUAUAGAAUAUAUAGUGGUGGCUAUUUAGUGUGUUAUAACCUCAUCUGGGCGCCGCCAUUUUGGGUGCCGCCAUUUUUGUUCUACUUCUGUCAAAGUCGGGAAAAUUGUUGUUUUUUUUUUUUAAAUUUUAUAUUUGAGUUACUAUCUCUAUGUUCAUUAGGUGUCUUUAUUUUUAAAAAAGUUAUGUUAUGGAAAUAAUUUCAAU